rfam:Ovis aries breed Texel chromosome 3, whole genome shotgun sequence.
UCCCUGAUAGCUCAGUUGGUAAAGAAUCUGCCUGCAGUGCAGGAGACCCUGGUUCGAUUCCUGGGUUGGGAA